rnacentral:misc_RNA from 1 species
GGCAGUAAAAGUCGUAACAAGGUUUCCGUAGGUGAACCUGCGGAAGGAUCAUUACUGAGUGAGGGCCCCUCGGGGUCCAACCUCCCACCCGUGUUUAACGAACCUUGUUGCUUCGGCGGGCCCGCCUCACGGCCGCCGGGGGGCAUCUGCCCCCGGGCCCGCGCCCGCCGAAGCCACCUGUGAACGCUGUCUGAAGUAUGCAGUCUGAGACAAUUAUUAAAUUAAUUAAAACUUUCAACAACGGAUCUCUUGGUUCCG